rnacentral:rRNA from 1 species
AUAUGGUCAAGUGAAGAAGCGCAUACGGUGGAUGCCUUGGCAGUCAGAGGCGAUGAAAGACGUGGUAGCCUGCGAAAAGCUUCGGGGAGUCGGCAAACAGACUUUGAUCCGGAGAUGUCUGAAUGGGGGAACCCAGCCAUCAUAAGAUGGUUACCUUACACUGAAUACAUAGGUGUAAGGGGCGAACCAGGGGAACUGAAACAUCUAAGUACCCUGAGGAAAAGAAAUCAACCGAGAUUCCCUUAGUAGUGGCGAGCGAACGGGGACUAGCCCUUAAGUGGCUUUGAGAUUAGCGGAACGCUCUGGAAAGUGCGGCCAUAGUGGGUGAUAGCCCUGUACGCGAAAAUCUCUUAGUCAUGAAAUCGAGUAGGACGGAGCACGAGAAACUUUGUCUGAAUAUGGGGGGACCAUCCUCCAAGGCUAAAUACUACUGACUGACCGAUAGUGAACUAGUACCGUGAGGGAAAGGCGAAAAGAACCCCGGAGAGGGGAGUGAAAUAGAUCCUGAAACCGUAUGCGUACAAGCAGUGGGAGCAGACUUUGUUCUGUGACUGCGUACCUUUUGUAUAAUGGGUCAGCGACUUAUUUUCAGUGGCGAGCUUAACCGAAUAGGGGAGGCGUAGCGAAAGCGAGUCUUAAUAGGGCGUCUAGUCGCUGGGAAUAGACCCGAAACCGGGCGAUCUAUCCAUGGGCAGGUUGAAGGUUGGGUAACACUAACUGGAGGACCGAACCGACUACCGUUGAAAAGUUAGCGGAUGACCUGUGGAUCGGAGUGAAAGGCUAAUCAAGCUCGGAGAUAGCUGGUUCUCCUCGAAAGCUAUUUAGGUAGCGCCUCAUGUAUCACUGUAGGGGGUAGAGCACUGUUUCGGCUAGGGGGUCAUCCCGACUUACCAAACCGAUGCAAACUCCGAAUACCUACAAGUGCCGAGCAUGGGAGACACACGGCGGGUGCUAACGUCCGUCGUGAAAAGGGAAACAACCCAGACCGUCAGCUAAGGUCCCAAAGUUAUGGUUAAGUGGGAAACGAUGUGGGAAGGCUUAGACAGCUAGGAGGUUGGCUUAGAAGCAGCCACCCUUUAAAGAAAGCGUAAUAGCUCACUAGUCGAGUCGGCCUGCGCGGAAGAUGUAACGGGGCUCAAACCAUACACCGAAGCUACGGGUAUCACGUAAGUGAUGCGGUAGAGGAGCGUUCUGUAAGCCUGUGAAGGUGAGUUGAGAAGCUUGCUGGAGGUAUCAGAAGUGCGAAUGCUGACAUGAGUAACGAUAAUGGGUGUGAAAAACACCCACGCCGAAAGACCAAGGUUUCCUGCGCAACGUUAAUCGACGCAGGGUUAGUCGGUCCCUAAGGCGAGGCUGAAAAGCGUAGUCGAUGGAAAACAGGUUAAUAUUCCUGUACUUCUGGUUAUUGCGAUGGAGGGACGGAGAAGGCUAGGCCAGCUUGGCGUUGGUUGUCCAAGUUUAAGGUGGUAGGCUGAGAUCUUAGGUAAAUCCGGGAUCUUAAGGCCGAGAGCUGAUGACGAGUUGUCUUUUAGAUGACGAAGUGGUUGAUGCCAUGCUUCCAAGAAAAGCUUCUAAGCUUCAGGUAACCAGGAACCGUACCCCAAACCGACACAGGUGGUUGGGUAGAGAAUACCAAGGCGCUUGAGAGAACUCGGGUGAAGGAACUAGGCAAAAUGGCACCGUAACUUCGGGAGAAGGUGCGCCGGUGAGGGUGAAGGACUUGCUCCGUAAGCCCAUGCCGGUCGAAGAUACCAGGCCGCUGCGACUGUUUAUUAAAAACACAGCACUCUGCAAACACGAAAGUGGACGUAUAGGGUGUGACGCCUGCCCGGUGCCGGAAGGUUAAUUGAUGGGGUUAGCUAACGCGAAGCUCUUGAUCGAAGCCCCGGUAAACGGCGGCCGUAACUAUAACGGUCCUAAGGUAGCGAAAUUCCUUGUCGGGUAAGUUCCGACCUGCACGAAUGGCGUAACGAUGGCGGCGCUGUCUCCACCCGAGACUCAGUGAAAUUGAAAUCGCUGUGAAGAUGCAGUGUAUCCGCGGCUAGACGGAAAGACCCCGUGAACCUUUACUAUAGCUUUGCACUGGACUUUGAAUUUGCUUGUGUAGGAUAGGUGGGAGGCUUUGAAGCGUGGACGCCAGUUCGCGUGGAGCCAACCUUGAAAUACCACCCUGGCAACUUUGAGGUUCUAACUCAGGUCCGUUAUCCGGAUCGAGGACAGUGUAUGGUGGGUAGUUUGACUGGGGCGGUCUCCUCCUAAAGAGUAACGGAGGAGUACGAAGGUGCGCUCAGACCGGUCGGAAAUCGGUCGUAGAGUAUAAAGGCAAAAGCGCGCUUGACUGCGAGACAGACACGUCGAGCAGGUACGAAAGUAGGUCUUAGUGAUCCGGUGGUUCUGUAUGGAAGGGCCAUCGCUCAACGGAUAAAAGGUACUCCGGGGAUAACAGGCUGAUACCGCCCAAGAGUUCAUAUCGACGGCGGUGUUUGGCACCUCGAUGUCGGCUCAUCACAUCCUGGGGCUGAAGCCGGUCCCAAGGGUAUGGCUGUUCGCCAUUUAAAGUGGUACGCGAGCUGGGUUUAGAACGUCGUGAGACAGUUCGGUCCCUAUCUGCCGUGGACGUUUGAGAUUUGAGAGGGGCUGCUCCUAGUACGAGAGGACCGGAGUGGACGAACCUCUGGUGUUCCGGUUGUCACGCCAGUGGCAUUGCCGGGUAGCUAUGUUCGGAAUAGAUAACCGCUGAAAGCAUCUAAGCGGGAAACUAGCCUCAAGAUGAGAUCUCACUGGGACCUUGAGUCCCCUGAAGGGCCGUCGAAGACUACGACGUUGAUAGGUUGGGUGUGUAAGCGCUGUGAGGCGUUGAGCUAACCAAUACUAAUUGCCCGUGAGGCUUGACCAU